rnacentral:rRNA from 1 species
AUACAUGCAAGUAGAACGCUGAAGAGAGGAGCUUGCUCUUCUUGGAUGAGUUGCGAACGGGUGAGUAACGCGUAGGUAACCUGCCUUGUAGCGGGGGAUAACUAUUGGAAACGAUAGCUAAUACCGCAUAACAAUGGAUGACACAUGUCAUUUAUUUGAAAGGGGCAAUUGCUCCACUACAAGAUGGACCUGCGUUGUAUUAGCUAGUAGGUGAGGUAACGGCUCACCUAGGCGACGAUACAUAGCCGACCUGAGAGGGUGAUCGGCCACACUGGGACUGAGACACGGCCCAGACUCCUACGGGAGGCAGCAGUAGGGAAUCUUCGGCAAUGGGGGCAACCCUGACCGAGCAACGCCGCGUGAGUGAAGAAGGUUUUCGGAUCGUAAAGCUCUGUUGUAAGUCAAGAACGAGUGUGAGAGUGGAAAGUUCACACUGUGACGGUAGCUUACCAGAAAGGGACGGCUAACUACGUGCCAGCAGCCGCGGUAAUACGUAGGUCCCGAGCGUUGUCCGGAUUUAUUGGGCGUAAAGCGAGCGCAGGCGGUUUGAUAAGUCUGAAGUUAAAGGCUGUGGCUCAACCAUAGUUCGCUUUGGAAACUGUCAAACUUGAGUGCAGAAGGGGAGAGUGGAAUUCCAUGUGUAGCGGUGAAAUGCGUAGAUAUAUGGAGGAACACCGGUGGCGAAAGCGGCUCUCUGGUCUGUAACUGACGCUGAGGCUCGAAAGCGUGGGGAGCGAACAGGAUUAGAUACCCUGGUAGUCCACGCCGUAAACGAUGAGUGCUAGGUGUUGGAUCCUUUCCGGG